GGGCUCCGUAAGAGGAGCUCCCUGGUUUCCCAAGAGGUCUUCAGACGCUUCUCCAACUUUUGACGUCAUAAACAAGCGAUUCCCGCCAAGCGACGUAGAUGCACAGGAAAAACUCAUUCGUACAACAGUUGGGGUGAAGUUCAACAAUGUUGCAGCCAAGUUAAAGAAGCAGCGGCUUCUCUCUGAUGGCUGACCAAAUUGUUGAAUUGCCGAAAAGGAGCUUCUUCCUGCAAUUGCCAGGCUUUGUCAAAAUUAUUGUUGAUUUCAAUUGUUUCGUUUUCGUUUUUUCAUGAAUUGUUGAAUGUAGAAUUGAAUCUGCUAAACCUAGAAAAAAAUACAAUUUCUGAACCGACCAA